UUACCCGUAGUUUUUGCUAGAGGUUUCAGGGUGCUCUUAAUCGAGUGUCCUGGGAUGCUAGCAGGUUUACUUUGAAAAAAUUAGAGUGCUCAAAGCAGGCUACUACGCUUGAAUAUUCGUGCAUGGAAUAAUAGAAUAGGAAGUCGUUUCUAUUUUGUUGGUUUUCGGAAAUCGACUUAAUGAUUAAUAGGGACAGUCGGGGGCAUUUGUAUUCAAACGACAGAGGUGAAAUUCUUGGACCGUUUGAAGACAAACUACUGCGAAAGCAUUUGCCAAGAAUGUUUUCAUUAAUCAAGAACGAAAGUUAGAGGUUCGAAGGCGAUUAGAUACCGCCCUAGUUCUAACCAUAAACGAUGCCAGCUAGCGAUCUGCCGACGUUUUCUUUGUAGACUCGGCAGGAAGCUUCCGGGAAACCAAAGCAUUUGGGUUCCAGGGGAAGUAUGGUUGCAAAGCUGAAACUUAAAGGAAUUGACGGAAGGGCACCACCAGGAGUGGAGCCUGUGGCUUAAUUUGACUCAACACGGGAAAUCUCACCAGGCCCGGACACUGGAAGGAUUGACAGAUUGAUAGCUCUUUCUUGAUUCGGUGGGUGGUGGUGCAUGGCCGUUCUUAGUUGGUGGAGUGAUUUGUCUGGUUAAUUCCGAUAACGAACGAGACUCUGUCCUGCUAAAUAGUGUCCGCCUCUCUUUUGGGCAGACAAUUCUUCUUAGAGGGACUGGCAACUCUUAGUUGCACGAAAAAGAGCAAUAACAGGUCUGUGAUGCCCUUAGAUGUUCUGGGCCGCACACGCGCUACACUGAAUAGAUCAGCGUGUUCUCCCUUCCUGAGAAGGACGGGUAAACCGCUGAACCCUAUUCGUGGUAGGGAUCGGGGCUUGCAAUUAUUCCCCGUGAACCAGGAAUUCCCAGUAAGCGCAAGUCAUAAGCUUGCGUUGAUUACGUCCCUGCCCUUUGUACACACCGCCCGUCGCUACUACCGAUUGAACGUUUUAGUGAGGUAUUUGGACGAGGCCUCUCGAGGUUUUUAAUCUCGACUGUUGCCUUGGAAGACUCCCAAACUUGAGCGUUUAGAGGAAGUAAAAGUCGUAACAAGGUUUCCGUAGGUGAACCUGCGGAAG
rnacentral:rRNA from 1 species